GAUGAACGCUAGCGGCAGGCCUAAUACAUGCAAGUCGAACGGUGUAGCAAUACACAGUGGCGCACGGGUGCGUAACACGUAUGCAACCUACCUAUCAUUGGGGGAUAGCCUUUGGAAACGGAGAUUAAUACCGCAUAAGACAGUAACAUGGCAUCAUGUAGCUGUUAAAGCUUCGGCGAUGAUAGAUGGGCAUGCGUCCAAUUAGUUAGUUGGUGAGGUAACGGCUCACCGAGACGAUGAUUGGUAGGGGAUCUGAGAGGAUAAUCCCCCACACUGGCACUGAGAUACGGGCCAGACUCCUACGGGAGGCAGCAGUAGGGAAUAUUGGGCAAUGGACGGAAGUCUGACCCAGCCAUGCCGCGUGCAGGAAGAGGGCGUUAUGCGUUGUAAACUGCUUUUUUAUAGGAAGAAGGGGACCUUGCGAGGUUUGGUGACGGUACUAUAAGAAUAAGCACCGGCUAACUCCGUGCCAGCCGCCGCCGUAACAC
rnacentral:rRNA from 1 species